AUUUGUUAGGUUUUUAAAAAUUACAAAUAAGUAUUGACAUCAAGAGCUUAUGCCAGGUACUUUUUAAAUCACUUUUAAUAACUCUUUUUACUAUAGCUUUUCGAGGAAGGUCUUUAAUAUCCAUGUCUGUAGGCAGGGAAGUGUACUGAGGAAUAAAGAGGAAGAAAUCAUAAUCCAAAGCUACCCAGCUAAUGAAGAUAGUACAAGUAUGCAAACCCAGAGAGAUUGGCUCCACAACUCUUGCUCUCAACCCCCCAUAUGAUCUCAUUGCUAGAAUGAAUGAAUGACAUGUACAUAGUUUGAAAAUUUAAAGAAUACAUAAAGGCAAAAAGUUAAAAGUGAACUUUCAUCCUUGCCUGCACACUACUCUAUU
rnacentral:lncRNA from 10 species